rnacentral:rRNA from 1 species
GCGGGAAGAGCUCAAAUUUGAAAUCUGGCGGCAUCCUGUCGUCCGAGUUGUAAUCUAUAGAAGUGUUUUCCGCGCCGGACCAUGUACAAGUCCCUUGGAACAGGGCGUCAUAGAGGGUGAGAAUCCCGUCCUUGACAUGAUCUCCGGUUGCUAUGUGAUACACUUUCAACGAGUCGAGUUGUUUGGGAAUGCAGCUCAAAAAGGGUGGUGAAUUCCAUCUAAAGCUAAAUAUUGGCGAGAGACCGAUAGCGAACAAGUACCGUGAGGGAAAGAUGAAAAGCACUUUGGAAAGAGAGUUAAACAGUACGUGAAAUUGUUGAAAGGGAAACGAUUGAAGUCAGUCAUGCUCUUUGGGUUAAGCCUUUCGGGGUGUAUUCCAUUGAGUGGGGUCAACAUCAGUUUUGACCGCUGGAAAAAGGCACGAGGAAGGUAGCACUCUCGGGUGAACUUAUAGCCUCGCGUCAUAUACAGUGGUUGGGACUGAGGAACGCAGCAUGCCUUAUGGCCGGGAUUCGUCCACGUACAUGCUUAGGAUGUUGACAUAAUGGCUUUAAACGACCCGUCUUGA